CAAUAGCGUAUAUUUAAGUUGUUGCAGUUAAAAAGCUCGUAGUCGGAUUUUGGCUGUGAACGAUCGGUCCGCCGUUAGGUGUGCACUGAUUGGUCUCAGCUUCCUGGUGAGGAGGUGUGCUUCACGGCCACUUAGUCACCGUGGUUACUUUGAAAAAAUUAGAGUGUUCAAAGCGGGCUUACGCUUGAAUAUAUUAGCAUGGAAUAACACCAUAGGACUCCUGUCCUAUUUCGUUGGUCUCGGGACGGGAGUAAUGAUUAAGAGGAACAGUUGGGGGCAUUCGUAUUUCAUUGUCAGAGGUGAAAUUCUUGGAUUUAUGAAAGACGAACUUCUGCGAAAGCAUUUGCCAAGGAUGUUUUCAUUGA
rnacentral:rRNA from 1 species